AGUGAACGCUGGCGGUAGGCCUAACACAUGCAAGUCGAACGGCAGCACAGUAAGAGCUUGCUCUUACGGGUGGCGAGUGGCGGACGGGUGAGGAAUACAUCGGAAUCUACUUUUUCGGGGGGGAUAACGUAGGGAAACUUACGCUAAUACCGCAUACGACCUACGGGUGAAAGCAGGGGAUCUUCGGACCUUGCGCGAUUGAAUGAGCCGAUGUCGGAUUAGCUAGUUGGCGGGGUAAAGGCCCACCAAGGCAACGAUCCGUAGCUGGUCUGAGAGGAUGAUCAGCCACACUGGAACUGAGACACGGUCCAGACUCCUACGGGAGGCAGCAGUGGGGAAUAUUGGACAAUGGGCGCAAGCCUGAUCCAGCCAUACCGCGUGGGUGAAGAAGGCCUUCGGGUUGUAAAGCCCUUUUGUUGGGAAAGAAAAGCAGCAGGUUAAUACCCCGCUGUUCUGACGGUACCCAAAGAAUAAGCACCGGCUAACUUCGUG
rnacentral:rRNA from 1 species